AUAAUAUCGGAAUCUUUGAGGGUCCACCUAAUGCUAGAGUUCUCACAUGCAAUUCCAGAGCAAUGAAAGACAACGGAUACUUCCGUGCUGGUCAGAUCAUGGCCAUGUCACUUGCCCAUGGGGGACAGAGUCCGUGCUUCUUAUCUGAUGUUUUGUAUGAAUGUCUUCAAAAGGGUCCAGACAAUGUAAAGGCCAAAAUCGAACAUAUUAGUGAUGAUGAAACAAGGUCACAGGUGCAAUCGAUUUUGGAAGCUGAGACAGACUCGCAAUUGGAAGAUGCAGUUGCUAGGGCAGCCAAUUUAAUUAGUCUUGCUGGUCAUAAUGUGCACGUGACACUGAAAACCAAAGAAGAGACUGCAAUGGACUUGGCUCAUUGGUAUGUCCUCCAGCGGACCCGUGCACC